UAGCGGCGAGCGAAGCGGGAAGAGCUCAAAUUUAUAAUCUGGCACCUUCGGUGUCCGAGUUGUAAUCUCUAGAAAUGUUUUCCGCGUUGGACCGCACACAAGUCUGUUGGAAUACAGCGGCAUAGUGGUGAGACCCCCGUAUAUGGUGCGGACGCCCAGCGCUUUGUGAUACAUUUUCGAAGAGUCGAGUUGUUUGGGAAUGCAGCUCAAAUUGGGUGGUAAAUUCCAUCUAAAGCUAAAUAUUGGCGAGAGACCGAUAGCGAACAAGUACCGUGAGGGAAAGAUGAAAAGCACUUUGGAAAGAGAGUUAACAGUACGUGAAAUUGUUGGAAGGGAAACGCUUGAAGUCAGACUUGCUUGCCGAGCAAUCGGUUUGCAGGCCAGCAUCAGUUUUCCGGGAUGGAUAAUGGUAGAGAGAAGGUAGCAGUUUCGGCUGUGUUAUAGCUCUCUGCUGGAUACAUCUUGGGGGACUGAGGAACGCAGUGUGCCUUUGGCGGGGGUUUCGACCUCUUCACACUUAGGAUGCUGGUGGAAUGGCUUUAAACGACCCGUCUU
rnacentral:rRNA from 1 species